rnacentral:rRNA from 1 species
UUGCCCCAGUAACGGCGAGUGAAGCGGCAACAGCUCAAAUUUGAAAUCUGGCUUCGGCCCGAGUUGUAAUUUGUAGAGGAUGCUUUGGGCGCGGCGCCUUCUGAGUUCCCUGGAACGGGACGCCACAGAGGGUGAGAGCCCCGUAUAGUUGGACGCCUAGCCUGUGUAAAGCUCCUUCGACGAGUCGAGUAGUUUGGGAAUGCUGCUCAAAAUGGGAGGUAAAUUUCUUCUAAAGCUAAAUACCGGCCAGAGACCGAUAGCGCACAAGUAGAGUGAUCGAAAGAUGAAAAGCACUUUGAAAAGAGGGUUAAAUAGCACGUGAAAUUGUUGAAAGGGAAGCGCUUGUGACCAGACUUGCGCCGGGCUGAUCAUCCGGGGUUCUCCCCGGUGCACUCGGCCCGGCUCAGGCCAGCAUCGGUUCUCGCGGGGGGAUAAAGGCCUCGGGAACGUAGCUCCUCCGGGAGUGUUAUAGCCCGGGGCGUAAUGCCCUCGCGGGGACCGAGGUACGCGCAUCUGCAAGGAUGCUGGCGUAAUGGUCAUCAGCGACCCGUCUUGAAACACGGACCAAGGAGUCAAGGUUUUGCGC